AGUGAACGCUGGCGGUAGGCCUAACACAUGCAAGUCGAACGGCAGCACAGUAAGAGCUUGCUCUUACGGGUGGCGAGUGGCGGACGGGUGAGGAAUGCAUCGGAAUCUACUUUUUCGUGGGGGAUAACGUAGGGAAACUUACGCUAAUACCGCAUACGACCUACGGGUGAAAGCAGGGGAUCUUCGGACCUUGCGCGAUUGAAUGAGCCGAUGUCGGAUUAGCUAGUUGGCGGGGUAAAGGCCCACCAAGGCGACGAUCCGUAGCUGGUCUGAGAGGAUGAUCAGCCACACUGGAACUGAGACACGGUCCAGACUCCUACGGGAGGCAGCAGUGGGGAAUAUUGGACAAUGGGCGCAAUCCUGAUCCAGCCAUACCGCGUGGGUGAAGAAGGCCUUCGGGUUGUAAAGCCCUUUUGUUGGGAAAGAAAAGCAGCAGGUUAAUACCCCGCUGUUCUGACGGUACCCAAAGAAUAAGCACCGGCUAACUUCGUG
rnacentral:rRNA from 1 species